rnacentral:rRNA from 1 species
UACAGAGGGGGCAAGCGUUGUUCGGAAUUACUGGGCGUAAAGGGCGCGUAGGCGGCCUUCUAAGUCGAACGUGAAAUCCCUGGGCUCAACCCAGGAACUGCGUCCGAUACUGGGAGGCUUGAAUCCGGGAGAGGGAUGCGGAAUUCCAGGUGUAGCGGUGAAAAUGCGUAGAUAUCUGGAGGAACACCGGUGGCGAAGGCGGCAUCCUGGACCGGUAUUGACGCUGAGGCGCGAAAGCCAGGGGGAGCAAACGGGG